AUGCAUGUCUAAGUACAAGCCUCACUAAGGUGAAACCGCGAAUGGCUCAUUAAAUCACACCUAAUCUACUGGAUAGUAGUCAGUUACUUGGAUACCUGAGGUAAUUCUUCAGCUAAUACAUGCGCACAAGCCUCGAACUUACGUGAGAGGCGCUUUUAUUAGAUCAAAACCAGUCGGCUUCGGCCGUCCCUUUGGUGACUCUGAAUAACUUUGGGCUGAUCGCAUGGCCUCGCGCCGGCGACAUAUCCUUCGAAGGUGUGCCCUAUCAACUGUCGACUGUGGCAUAGACGCCCACAGUGGUUUUGACGGGUAACGGGGAAUCAGGGUUCGAUUCCGGAGAGGGAGCCUUAAAAACGGCUACCACA
rnacentral:rRNA from 2 species